ACUUCAAGCUGCUCUACAUAAGCGUGUGUCCUGACAAACAUACUGUAAAACCAGAACCAUUUUGUUUAGUUUUCUCUUGACAGCAAGAAAUCACAACAGGGUGGCACAGCUACGCAGCGUCCUGUUCUGUCUGUUCUGUUGUUCAGGGCAGCUGGGUUAUAUAUAAUACUGUGAAGAUACCGUACCGCAAAGAUGAAAACAUUCGUCACAACGACACAUGAAUGUCAUAUUUUUCCAGCUUUCAUUUUGUGAUGCUAUAUAUGGGUAAAACCAGUUCCUCUGCUGCACUACCAUCUUCUCUGUCAUCACAAAACAUAAAACUGAAACCAGUGAUGCCACACACGAAGAUCACACUGGAACUGGUUUGUUGUCGUGGAUCAGUCUACUGUCAUUAGGGCUUGAUUCUGCAUUGCUGUGCUGCCCUGUCUACAGAAUGUUAUUUUGCUGUUUCUACUAACUAUUGUCUGUCAUCAUCGUCUAACCUUCCAGUGUUAUUUUUUCCUUGUUGCAUGUACUUUGUAGAGCGUCCUUGAACCCUGG